CCGAGUUUACAACUCCCAAACCCAAUGUGAACGUUACCAAACUGUUGCCUCGGCGGGGUCACGCCCCGGGUGCGUAAAAGCCCCGGAACCAGGCGCCCGCCGGAGGAACCAACCAAACUCUUUCUGUAGUCCCCUCGCGGAUGUAUUUCUUACAGCUCUGAGCAAAAAUUCAAAAUGAAUCA
rnacentral:misc_RNA from 1 species